rnacentral:rRNA from 1 species
GAGUUUGAUCUUGGCUCAGGAUGAACGCUGGCGGCGUGCCUAAUACAUGCAAGUCGUACGAACAGCGGAAAGUGCUUGCACUUUCCAAGUAAGUGGCGAACGGGUGAGUAACACGUGAAUAACCUACCUCAAAGUCUGGGAUAACCAUUGGAAACAGUGACUAAUACCGGGAUAAAACCUAGUAGCACAUGCUACAAGGUUAAAAGCUGCGUUUGCAGCGCUUUAAGAUGGAUUCGCGGUGCAGUUAGUUAGUUGGUGAGGUAAAGGCU